UGCCAGCCGCCGCGGUAAUGCGAAGGGUGCAAGCGUUGUUCGGAUUUAUUGGGCGUAAAGGGCGUGUAGGCGGAAAAAUAAGUCAGGUGUGAAAUCUCGGAGCUUAACUCCGAAACUGCGCCUGAAACUGUUAUUCUAGAAUCUCGAAGGGGGAAGCGGAAUUUCGCAUGUAGGAGUAAAAUCCGUAGAGAUGCGAAGGAACACCAGAGGCGAAGGCGGCUUCCUGGACGAGAAUUGACGCUGAGGCGCGAAAGCGUGGGGAGCAAACAGGAUUAGAUA
rnacentral:rRNA from 1 species